GACGAACGCUGGCGGCGUGCUUAACACAUGCAAGUCGAACGGAAAGGCCCUGCUUUUGCGGGGCGCUCGAGUGGCGAACGGGUGAGUAACACGUGAGUAACCUGCCCUUGACUUUGGGAUAACUUCAGGAAACUGGGGCUCAUACCGGAUAGGAGCUCCUGCUGCAUGGUGGGGGUUGGAAAGUUUCGGCGGUUGGGGAUGGACUCGAGGCUUAUCAGCUUGAUGGUGGGGUAGUGACUUACCAAGGCUUUGACGGGUAGCCGGCCUGAGAGGGUGACCAGCCACAUUAGGACUGAGAUACGGCCCAGACUCCUACGGGAGGCAGCAGUGGGGAAUAUUGCGCAAUGGGCGGAAGCCUGAUGCAGCGACGCCGCGUGCGGGAUGACGGCCUUCGGGUGGUAAACCGCUUUCGCCUGUGACGAAGCGUGAGUGACGGUAAUGGGUAAAGAAGCACCGGCUAACUACGUG
rnacentral:rRNA from 1 species